GGGACAGCGGCGAACGGGUUAGUAACGCGUGGGAACGUGCCCUUUAGUACGGAAUAGCCAUUGGAAACGAUAAUUAAUACCGUAUACGCCCCAAGGGGGAAAGAUUUAUCGCUAAAGGAUCGGCCCGCGUUAGAUUAGGUAGUUGGUAGGGUAAUGGCCUACCAAGCCGACGAUCUAUAGCUGGUUUGAGAGGAUGAUCAGCAACACUGGGACUGAGACACGGCCCAGACUUCUACGGAAGGCAGCAGUAGGGAAUCUUGGACAAUGGGCGAAAGCCUGAUCCAGCCAUGCCGCGUGAGUGAUGAAGGCCCUAGGGUUGUAAAGCUCUUUCGCCAGGGAAGAUAAUGACGGUACCUGGUAAAGAAACCCCGGCUAACUCCGUGCCAGCAGCCGCGGUAAUACGGAGGGGGUUAGCGUUGUUCGGAAUUACUGGGCGUAAAGCGCACGUAGGCGGAUUAAUAAGUCAGGGGUGAAAUCCCGAGGCUCAACCUCGGAACUGCCUUUGAUACUGUUAAUCUUGAGUUCGAGAGAGGUGAGUGGAAUUCCGAGUGUAGAGGUGAAAUUCGUAGAUAUUCGGAGGAACACCAGUGGCGAAGGCGG
rnacentral:rRNA from 1 species